rfam:Stagonospora sp. SRC1lsM3a unplaced genomic scaffold IQ06scaffold_1, whole genome shotgun sequence.
GGCUCGGUGGUGUAGUUGGUUAUCACGUCAGUCUAACAAGGCACUUGUCUUCGAACACUGAAGGUCGGGAGUUCGAGCCUCCCUUGAGUCA